GAUGAACGCUGGCGGCGUGCCUAAUACAUGCAAGUCGAGCGAACGGACGAGAAGCUUGCUUCUCUGAUGUUAGCGGCGGACGGGUGAGUAACACGUGGAUAACCUACCUAUAAGACUGGUAUAACUUCGGGAAACCGGAGCUAAUACCGGAUGAUAUUUUGAACCGCAUGGUUCAAAAGUGAAAGACGGUCUUGCUGUCACUUAUAGAUGGAUCCGCGCUGCAUUAGCUAGUUGGUAAGGUAACGGCUUACCAAGGCAACGAUGCAUAGCCGACCUGAGAGGGUGAACGGACACACUGGAACUGAGACACGGUCAAGACUCCUACGGGAGGCAGCAGUAGGGAAUCUUCCGCAAUGGGCGAAAGCCUGACGGAGCAACGCCGCGUGAGUGAUGAAGGUCUUCGGAUCGUAAAACUCUGUUAUUAGGGAAGAACAUAUGUGUAAGUAACUGUGCACAUCUUGACGGUACCUAAUCAGAAAGCCACGGCUAACUACGUG
rnacentral:rRNA from 1 species